rnacentral:snRNA from 1 species
GUCACAGACCUAGAGAGCUUCAA